rnacentral:misc_RNA from 1 species
AGAAGAGUGUGGAUUUGAUGCAAUUGUGUUUACUAGUACUGGAGAAGUGGAAGGUUUGUUGAAGAGUUUGGAGGAAUUUGGAUUGGAUUGGUCAAUGGUGAGGAGGAGAUGUCCAAGAAUGGUGGUGGCAGCUCAUGGCCCUGUUACAGCUGCUGGUGCUGAGAGUUUGGGUGUUGGCAUUGAUGUGGUAAGUUCAAAUUUUGGUAGCUUUGAUGGUGUGGUUGAUGCAUUAGCUCAUAAAUGGAAAUCAUUGCAAAAUCAAGAUUCUU